AAGCACUCCUUAACAAACUUUCCCUGGAUUGGGAAAACUUAACUAAGAACCGGGCACUUGCUAAUCACCCUUUCCUGGGCAAGGUCCUGGAGCAGAUGGUCACAAAACAGAUCCAGAUGCUUUUCUUUCUUUUUUUUUUUAAUUAAUAUUUAUUAAAGUUUCAGAAAAAAUAAAAUCACAUUAAUAAACAAGAGAAAUUUG